AAGAUUUUAGUUUAGAAAAUAUUAACUUGCUAAGUUUAAGAUAUACAUAGUAGUAUAAAUCUUU
rnacentral:tRNA from 1 species